rnacentral:rRNA from 1 species
UGCAGUCGAGCGGACAGAUGGGAGCUUGCUCCCUGAUGUUAGCGGCGGACGGGUGAGUAACACGUGGGUAACCUGCCUGUAGGACUGGGAUAACUCCGGGAAACCGGGGCUAAUACCGGAUGCUUGAUUGAACCGCAUGGUUCAAUUAUAAAAGGUGGCUUUUAGCUACCACUUACAGAUGGACCCGCGGCGCAGUAGCUAGUUGGUGAGGUAACGGCUCACCAAGGCGACGAUGCGUAGCCGACCUGAGAGGGUGAUCGGCCACACUGGGACUGAGACACGGCCCAGACUCCUACGGGAGGCAGCAGUAGGGAAUCUUCCGCAAUGGACGAAAGUCUGACGGAGCAACGCCGCGUGAGUGAUGAAGGUUUUCGGAUCGUAAAACUCUGUUGUUAGGGAAGAACAAGUACCGUUCGAAUAGGGCGGUACCUUGACGGUACCUAACCAGAAAGCCACGGCUAACUACGUGCCAGCAGCCGCGGUAAUACGUAGGUGGCAAGCGUUGUCCGGAAUUAUUGGGCGUAAAGCGCGCGCAGGCGGUUUCUUAAGUCUGAUGUGAAAGCCCCCGGCUCAACCGGGGAGGGUCAUUGGAAACUGGGGAACUUGAGUGCAGAAGAGGAGAGUGGAAUUUCCACGUGUAGCGGUGAAAUGCGUAGAGAUGUGGAGGAACACCAGUGGCGAAGGCGACUCUCUGGUCUGUAACUGACGCUGAGGCGCGAAAGCGUGGGGAGCGAACAGGAUUAGAUACCCUGGUAGUCCACGCCGUAAACGAUGAGUGCUAAGUGUUAGAGGGUUUCCGCCCUUUAGUGCUGCAGCAAACGCAUUAAGCACUCCGCCUGGGGAGUACGGUCGCAAGACUGAAACUCAAAGGAAUUGACGGGGGCCCGCACAAGCGGUGGAGCAUGUGGUUUAAUUCGAAGCAACGCGAAGAACCUUACCAGGUCUUGACAUCCUCUGACAACCCUAGAGAUAGGGCUUCCCCUUCGGGGGCAGAGUGACAGGUGGUGCAUGGUUGUCGUCAGCUCGUGUCGUGAGAUGUUGGGUUAAGUCCCGCAACGAGCGCAACCCUUGAUUUUAGUUGCCAGCAUUCAGUUGGGCACUCUAAGGUGACUGCCGGUGACAAACCGGAGGAAGGUGGGGAUGACGUCAAAUCAUCAUGCCCCUUAUGACCUGGGCUAC